rnacentral:rRNA from 1 species
UACGUAGGGGGCGAGCGUUGUCCGGAUUUAUUGGGCGUAAAGAGCUCGUAGGUGGUUUGGUAAGUCGGAUGUGAAAUCUCCAGGCUCAACCUGGAGGGGUCAUUCGAUACUGCCAUGACUAGAGUUCGGUAGGGGAGUGUGGAAUUCCUGGUGGAGCGGUGAAAUGCGUUGAGAUCGGAAGGAACGCCCGUGGCGAAAGCGAGGUCCUGGACGCCUACUGACGCUGAGACGCGAAAGCCAGGGGAGCGAACGGG